rnacentral:rRNA from 1 species
CAGCAGCCGCGGGAAAACCAGCAGCCCAAGUGGUGGUCGCGAUUACUGGGCGUAAAGCGUGCGCAGGCGGUUAUAUAAGUCAGAUGUGAAAUCCCCGGGCUCGACCUGGGAACUGCAUUUGAGACUGUAUGGCUAGAGUGUGUCAGAGGGGGGUAGAAUUCCACGUGUAGCAGUGAAAUGCGUAGAUAUGUGGAGGAAUACCGAUGGCGAAGGCAGCCCCCUGGGAUAACACUGACGCUCAUGCACGAAAGCGUGGGGAGCAAACAGGAUUAGAUACCCCGGUAGUCCCUGUCUCUUAUAA